rnacentral:rRNA from 1 species
CUAGUCGCACGGGAUAAGACAUGUAGCAAUACCUGUUUUAUUUAGUGGCGCACGGGUGAGUAACACGUGAAUUACAUGCCCUACAGAGGGGAAUAGCCCAGGGAAACUUGGAUUAAUACCCCAUAGUCUCGCAAGAGUAAAGGUGGCCAGCAAUGGCUGUCGCUAUAGGAUUGGUUCGCGCCCUAUCAGCUUGUUGGUGAGGUAACGGCUCACCAAGGCAAUGACGGGUACCUGGUCUGAGAGGACGAUCAGGCACACUGGAACUGAGACACGGUCCAGACACCUACGGGUGGCAGCAGUCGAGAAUAAUUCACAAUGGGGGCAACCCUGAUGGUGCAACGCCGCGUGGAGGAUGACGGUCUUCGGAUUGUAAACUCCUGUCAUCCGGGAGAAAGACCUGGGAGUGAAUAGCUCACAGGGUUGAUAGUACCGGAAGAGGAAGGGACGGCUAACUUCGUGCCAGCAGCCGCGGUAAUACGAAGGUCCCGAGCGUUGUUCGGAAUCACUGGGCGUAAAGGGAGCGUAGGCGGUUUGGUAAGUCAGAUGUGAAAUCCCGGGGCUCAACCCCGGAACUGCAUCCGAUACUGCCAGACUUGAGUAAUGGAGAGGUAGCUGGAAUUAUCGGUGUAGCAGUGAAAUGCGUAGAUAUCGAUAGGAACACUCGUGGCGAAAGCGAGCUACUGGACAUUUACUGACGCUGAGGCUCGAAGGCUAGGGGAGCGAAAGGGAUUAGAUACCCCUGUAGUCCUAGCAGUAAACGGUGCACGCUUGGUGUGAGGGGAUUCGACCCCCCUUGUGCCGGAGCUAACGCGUUAAGCGUGCCGCCUGGGAAGUACGGUCGCAAGACUAAAACUCAAAGAAAUUGACGG